GAUGAACGCUGGCGGCGUGCCUAAUACAUGCAAGUCGAGCGAACAGAUAAGGAGCUUGCUCCUUUGACGUUAGCGGCGGACGGGUGAGUAACACGUGGGUAACCUACCUAUAAGACUGGGAUAACUUCGGGAAACCGGAGCUAAUACCGGAUAACAUUUGGAACCGCAUGGUUCUAAAGUGAAAGAUGGUUUUGCUAUCACUUAUAGAUGGACCCGCGCCGUAUUAGCUAGUUGGUAAGGUAACGGCUUACCAAGGCGACGAUACGUAGCCGACCUGAGAGGGUGAUCGGCCACGCUGGAACUGAGACACGGUCCAGACUCCUACGGGAGGCAGCAGUAGGGAAUCUUCCGCAAUGGGCGAAAGCCUGACGGAGCAACGCCGCGUGAGUGAUGAAGGGUUUCGGCUCGUAAAACUCUGUUAUUAGGGAAGAACAAAUGUGUAAGUAACUGUGCACGUCUUGACGGUACCUAAUCAGAAAGCCACGGCUAACUACGUG
rnacentral:rRNA from 1 species